AGAAUCAACGCUGGCGGCGUGCCUCAGACAUGCAAGUCGAACGCGAAAGUCCCCUUCGGGGGACAAGUAGAGUGGCGCACGGGUGAGUAACACGUAGGUAAUCUACCUUCGGAUGGGGAAUAACAAUCGGAAACGGUUGCUAAUACCGCAUAAUGCAGCGGCACCUAAUGGUGACAGUUGUUAAAGCGGGGGAUCGAAAGACCUCGCGUCUGAAGAGGAGCCUGCGGCGGAUUAGCUAGUUGGUAAGUAAUGGCUUACCAAGGCGACGAUCC
rnacentral:rRNA from 1 species